CAGGCAUUUAUGAGCAUCUGCUUUCUUGGGAUCAGGCUCAACCAUCUCACAGAGCAACAGAGAAGACAUAAGGCACAUGAAGCGAGGCCUUGCAAGAGCUUCUCCGGGCUGGCGUCGCACGCAGGGAGCUUCUCAAGGAGAAAGUGCGAGGGCUGUCCACCCGCCUGAAAGACGAUCUGGCUGUGCUGAUGUUUGCUGCAGAUGAACAGUCGCCGUAAAUCCUUGUGUCUUCUUCCUGGGUUUUACUGCAUCGUUCUCCCCACUGUAUUUUCACACUUUCCCACCACAAACCAUACUGUUACAAUUUCUGUUUCCUAUUGCUCUAUUUUUGAACUUUGCCCCUGGCUGAGGGCAGCAUUCAUGAGGUUGAGGAGGUUGCUGAGGCAGUAGCGUUUCUCUGGUGGCUAUCAGCUCCAACAUACACUUUCUUAUUUAUGCAGCAGCUGUGUGGAAAAGUUGGGUUUUUUUUCAAAUCGGAGAGGUCAAAGGGGGCCUGUGUGAGAGGAGCCAGUUACAUCAGUAAUCCAGUUUCUCCCUCUUUUCAAAAACAACAACUUUGAAUUUGCUUUUUUAAUCAGAAAACAAAAUAUGAGCCCUUUGACUU